ensembl:rRNA 5S_rRNA 5S ribosomal RNA
GUCUAUGCCCAUACCACCCUGAAAGUGCCAGAUCUUAUCUGAUCUCAGAAGCUAAGCAGAGUCGGGCCUGCUUUGUACUUGGAUGGGAGACCAUCUUUGCUUAUUUCCAGGACCAGCCU